UUUUGUUUUUAGAAAAAUAGAAAAGCGUUUAUGAAAGUAAUUGUACUUGUACAUCAUGUUAAAAAUGUAACCGUUUAUCACCGAAAGGAAAACGCGUAGGGGGGAGGGGGAGCAGGGGAGAAAAGACCAGUCAAAGAUGAUCUCAAGAAGAAAUCAAGAUUCUCAAUGACGAUAUCAACAACAAAUCAAGAAAACAAACAAGGAGAUAGAAGAAGAGAGAGAUGGUGUUGAACAGCACACUGAUAGGGAGAGUAGCGGUGGUAUCCGCAGAUUUGUGCCAAUACGUUGCUUGCAAUCCGGAGAGACUCAGCCCCGAGCAUGUUCUCCAUCUCCUCUUUUGUUUUCCUUUUCAGCAGUUACGUCGAUUAGCGCUCUGUAUCUCCGCCUUCUUCUGCUCCCCUUCCUACCCCGACGAUUCCGAUUCUCAUUCCGACUAGCAUCCUUUUUGUUUUUUGUUGUGGAGAUUCUUGUAAAUCUGGAUUCGUGAUGAUGAGUGAGAUUUGAAAUUUCGUGAAUUGAGGAUAUUGAUUUGUUUUCAUGCUUUCGAUUUGCUUGGAUUUGAUCUGAUAUGUUGCGUUUGGUUGAACUUGAAGAACUAGUUAAUUCCAAAUCCAGAAAUGGAUCAAUAAUCCAUUGGGCCGUUUUAUUUGUCCUGCAUUUUCUUAGCUACCAAUCACUCUCAGAGGUGACUUUCAAUCUGAUUUAUCUUAACAAAGAAGGAUUGAACUAACAAUUUAACAUUCUUUGAAAAAAAAAAAAGACCGGAUAAUAAAUAUUUCUCUAAUUAGGUUUCCAAUUUAAAAUCGGAUGAUCAACCGAUCAGGCGGUCCAAAAACAACGAAAAACAGAAAAAGAAAAUAAAAGCAAAAAAAAAAAGGGGAUGACGAGGUUGUCUGUUACGUGUGUGAAUAUUAGUGGAUAUAUGUUGCUUGUCCAGUAUUCUAUCAACUAAACAUAGAAAAAAAGAGGAAAAGAGGAGUAGGUGAGAAGCAAGAUGAAGAGUGUGGUGGCACCAACGGCACUGUCAAUUUCCCUGAUACCCCGCGUAAAUGCCCGCAAAAUCCCCAAUUCAUCGCCUCCCUUUCCAAAUUUCUUUAGUCCCAAACCCUACUCUUUCUUCUCUUCUCCUCUUGUACGUCCUCUUUCCAUGGCGGCCUCCGCUGCUCAGACUGCGUCACCCGGGGAUGUCACCACUGAUGCCGAAGUCUUUCAACUGAUCAAAGAUCAUCAGGAAAAGGCUGCUCGGCUUCCUCCGCUUGAGGAAAUUAGAACUGUUAUUAAUCACAGUGUGCGAGGCAUGCUUUCGACUAUUUCUCAGAAGUAUGAGGGUUAUCCAUCAGGAUCGAUGGUCGACUUUGCAUGCGAUCAGGAUGGGUAUCCAAUAUUAGCAGUCAGUAGCCUGGCAAAUCAUACAAAGGACCUGUUAGCUAAUACCAAAUGCUCAUUGCUUGUAGCAAAGGAUCCUGAGGAUAAGACUGACCUUUUAAUUACUGUGCAUGGAGAUGCUGUUCCUGUCUCUGAAGAGGAUAAAGGGGAUAUUCGUACAGCAUACUUGACAAGGCAUCCCAAUGCAUUCUGGGUUGACUUUGGUGACUUCCAAUUUAUGCGUAUUGAACCAAAAGUAGUGCGUUAUGUGUCUGGGAUUGCAACAGCUCUCUUGGGAUCAGAAGAGUUUACUAAAGAGGCCUAUACAGCUGCAAAAGUUGAUCCAAUAGCUCAGUUUUCUAAGCCUGUGGCGUCUCACAUGAACAGAGAUCAUGCAGAAGAUACAAAGCUGAUUGUGCAACACGUGACAUCUAUUCUGGUGGACUCUGCUUACAUGCUGGAUUUGGAUAGUCUUGGUUUCUAUGUUAAGGCUACUUACCGAGGGAAUGCUUUCAAGCUCCGAAUUCCUUUCCCUAGACGUGCUGAGGAUAGAAAGGAUGUGAAGACUCUUGUGGUGGAAAUGCUUCAAGCUGCUAAGUCUCAAUCUAAUUAAUGCUCUAUUAAAAUGGAAUAAAGAGGUAGAAGGCAAUAGUUUGCUGUGGAGUUCUCUAAUUAUUCUGUCCAGUUGCAAAAGAAAAUUUAUGAGUUCCUUACAAAAGCCCUAUGAUUGCUCACAGUCAGUCUGCUAUUGAUUUGAUCAGAUAUUUUCCAUAUUACUCCCAAAACUAGGCCAACUUUUGUUGUUAUGGUACCCUCCAAGCCUCUAAGCAGUGUAGUCCUCCAAGAGUUGAACCAUAUACUCCUUGUAUCCUGUGGGAUUAGACAUGGAUCCUGCAUUGAACCAUAGAUCAUCUUUCUGGGAACAAAUGGAAACAAGUGAAAUCAGUGGCAAUUCUUUGGCUUUCUUUUCUUGUUUGCUCUUGCUUUGUCUCUAUCUAUUGUAAUUAAGGUCAGAAUGAAUAGCCAUGUUAUGUCAGACUGUUCAAUGUAAAAAGGUGCAUAAACAGUUUCUAGAACACAAAGUCAAUAGUGCAAAAAAUUUUAUUUUUGGUGGGAUACUGUACAAACUUUGCUAUGGAGGAGCUCAUUCGAAAUUGAAAUACACAGAUGAUGAUUAGAACUGGCCA